rnacentral:rRNA from 1 species
GGGUUGUGAGGUUAAGCGACUAAGCGUACACGGUGGAUGCCCUGGCAGUCAGAGGCGAUGAAGGACGUGCUAAUCUGCGAUAAGCGUCGGUAAGGUGAUAUGAACCGUUAUAACCGGCGAUUUCCGAAUGGGGAAACCCAGUGUGAUUCGUCACACUAUCAUUAACUGAAUCCAUAGGUUAAUGAGGCGAACCGGGGGAACUGAAACAUCUAAGUACCCCGAGGAAAAGAAAUCAACCGAGAUUCCCCCAGUAGCGGCGAGCGAACGGGGAGGAGCCCAGAGCCUGAAUCAGUGUGUGUGUUAGUGGAAGCGUCUGGAAAGGCGCGCGAUACAGGGUGACAGCCCCGUACACAAAAAUGCACAUGCUGUGAGCUCGAUGAGUAGGGCGGGACACGUGGUAUCCUGUCUGAAUAUGGGGGGACCAUCCUCCAAGGCUAAAUACUCCUGACUGACCGAUAGUGAACCAGUACCGUGAGGGAAAGGCGAAAAGAACCCCGGCGAGGGGAGUGAAAAAGAACCUGAAACCGUGUACGUACAAGCAGUGGGAGCACAGAGCAAUCUGUGUGACUGCGUACCUUUUGUAUAAUGGGUCAGCGACUUAUAUUCUGUAGCAAGGUUAACCGAAUAGGGGAGCCGAAGGGAAACCGAGUCUUAACUGGGCGUUAAGUUGCAGGGUAUAGACCCGAAACCCGGUGAUCUAGCCAUGGGCAGGUUGAAG